UACGGAGGGUGCAAGCGUUAAUCGGAAUUACUGGGCGUAAAGCGUGCGCAGGCGGUUUGUUAAGUCUGCUGUGAAAUCCCCGAGCUCAACUUGGGAAUUGCAGUGGAUACUGGCAGGCUGGAGUAUGGUAGAGGAAGGCGGAAUUCCCGGUGUAGCAGUGAAAUGCGUAGAGAUCGGGAGGAACACCAGUGGCGAAGGCGGCCUUCUGGACCAAUACUGACGCUCAUGCACGAAAGCGUGGGGAGCAAACAGG
rnacentral:rRNA from 1 species